AUUGAACGCUGGCGGCAGGCCUAACACAUGCAAGUCGAGCGGAUGAAGGGAGCUUGCUCCUGGAUUCAGCGGCGGACGGGUGAGUAAUGCCUAGGAAUCUGCCUGGUAGUGGGGGAUAACGUCCGGAAACGGGCGCUAAUACCGCAUACGUCCUGAGGGAGAAAGUGGGGGAUCUUCGGACCUCACGCUAUCAGAUGAGCCUAGGUCGGAUUAGCUAGUUGGUGGGGUAAAGGCCUACCAAGGCGACGAUCUGUAACUGGUCUGAGAGGAUGAUCAGUCACACUGGAACUGAGACACGGUCCAGACUCCUACGGGAGGCAGCAGUGGGGAAUAUUGGACAAUGGGCGAAAGCCUGAUCCAGCCAUGCCGCGUGUGUGAAGAAGGUCUUCGGAUUGUAAAGCACUUUAAGUUGGGAGGAAGGGCAGUAAGUUAAUACCUUGCUGUUUUGACGUUACCAUCAGAAUAAGCACCGGCUAACUUCGUG
rnacentral:rRNA from 1 species